UGAACGCUAGCGGCAGGCUUAACACAUGCAAGUCGAGGGGUAUAGUUCUUCGGAGCUAGAGACCGGCGCACGGGUGCGUAACGCGUAUGCAAUCUACCUUUUGCAGAGGGAUAGCCCAGAGAAAUUUGGAUUAAUACCUCAUAGUAUGUGAGAAUGGCAUCAUUUUCACAUUAAAGUCACAACGGCAAAAGAUGAGCAUGCGUCCCAUUAGCUAGUUGGUAUGGUAACGGCAUACCAAGGCUACGAUGGGUAGGGGUCCUGAGAGGGAGAUCCCCCCACACUGGUACUGAGACACGGACCAGACUCCUACGGGAGGCAGCAGUGAGGAAUAUUGGACAAUGGGCGCAAGCCUGAUCCAGCCAUGCCGCGUGCAGGAUGACGGUCCUAUGGAUUGUAAACUGCUUUUGUACAGGAAGAAACACUACUUCGUGAAGUAGCUUGACGGUACUGUAAGAAUAAGGAUCGGCUA
rnacentral:rRNA from 1 species